rnacentral:rRNA from 1 species
GAUGAACGCUAGCGAUAGGCCUAACACAUGCAAGUCGAGGGGCAUCACAUGAAGUAGCAAUACGGAUGGUGGCGACCGGCGCACGGGUGAGUAACACGUAUGCAACCUGCCUUCAACAAGGGGAUAACCCGUUGAAAGACGGACUAAUACCCUAUAACACAGGGGUCCCGCAUGGGGAUAUUUGUUAAAGGACAACCGGUUGAAGAUGGGCAUGCGUUCCAUUAGCUAGUUGGCGGGGUAAGGGCCCACCAAGGCAACGAUGGAUAGGGGAACUGAGAGGUUUAUCCCCCACACUGGUACUGAGACACGGACCAGACUCCUACGGGAGGCAGCAGUGAGGAAUAUUGGUCAAUGGACGCAAGUCUGAACCAGCCACGUCGCGUGAAGGAAGACGGCCCUACGGGUUGUAAACUUCUUUUGCAAGGGAAUAAAGUGGGCCACGUGUGGCCUUUUGCAAGUACCUUGCGAAUAGGAUCGGCUAACUCCGUGCCAGCAGCCGCGGUAAGUACGC